rnacentral:lncRNA from 1 species
GAAACUCGAUUUCCAGGAUAAGCGCUCCGUAGUUUCUGCGCUCCAGGUCCACUACCUAGUGAAACUCGACUUCAGGGACAACCGCUCCGUAGUUUCUUCACUCCAGGUCCACUAGCUAGUGAAACUCGACUUCAGGGACAAGCGCUUCGUAGUUUCUGCACUCCAGGUCCACUAUCUGGUGAAACUCUGGACGGAAGGAGGAGGACGAGGAAGACGAGGAGAACAAGGUGGGCAAGGAGGAAGAGGAUUUGUGCACGUAUUCGGAGUAUAACCCGAGGUGGUCAGCGGUGGUCGUUGGAGGUGGUCAGAGGUGGUAAAGGGUGGUUGCGGGUGUUCGAGGUGGAUGAGGAGGAGGAAGACGAGGACGACGAGGAGAACGAGGAUUUCUGCACAGUAUAACUCGAGGUGGUUAUCGGUGGUUGUUGGAGGGGGUUGGCGGUGGUUGGAGAUGGUCGGAGGUGGAUGAGGAGGAGGACGGGGAAGACGAGGAGAACAAGGUGGACGAGGAUGUGUGCACUAUGAGUAUAACAUACUAAAAUAUUGAAUCGACUAGGAGUAGGAAUAGGAGUAGGAUCAGGAGUAGAAGUAGGAAGAGGAGUAGGAUCCGGAGUAUAAGUAGGAAUAGGAGUAGGAUCAGGAGUGGAAGUAGGAAUAGGAGUAGGAUCAGGAGUAGGUUCAGGAUUACGAGUAGGAAUAAGAGUGGGAUCAGGAGUAGGAGUAGGAAUAGGAGUAGAUUCAGGAGUAGGAGUAGGAUCAGGAGUGGAAGUAGGAGUAGGAGUAGGAGUAGGAGUAGGAGUAGGAGUAGGAGU